AGAACGAACGCUGGCGGCGUGGAUAAGACAUGCAAGUCGGACGAGAAUUUAUUUAUAGCAAUGAGAAUUCGAGUGGCGAAAGGGUGCGUAACACGUAGCUACCUACCUUCAAGUGGGGGAUAACUCCGAGAAAUCGGAGCUAAUACCGCAUGUGGUCUGAGACUAAAGCCGGGGAUCGUAAGACUGGUGCUUGAAGAUGGGGCUGCGGCCUAUCAGCUAGUUGGCGGGGUAACGGCCCACCAAGGCUUAGAUCGGUAGCCGGCCUGAGAGGGCGCACGGCCACACUGGAACUGAAACACGGUCCAGACUCCUACGGGAGGCAGCAGUGGGGAAUUUUGCGCAAUGGGGGAAACCCUGACCGAGCGACGCCGCGUGCGGGAUGAAGGCCUUCGGGUUGUAAACCGCUGUCAGAGGGGAGGAAGUGCUGGUGGGUUCUCCCAUCAGUUUGACCUAUCCUCAGAGGAAGGACGGGCUAAGUUCGUGCCAGCAGCCGCGGUAAGACGAACCGUCCAAACGUUAUUCGGAAUCACUGGGCUUAAAGGGUGCGUAGGCGGCCCGGGAAGUUGGGUGUGAAAGCCCUCGGCUCAACCGAGGAACUGCGCCCAAAACUGCCGGGCUCGAGGGAGACAUAGGUGAGCGGAACUUAGGGUGGAGCGGUGAAAUGCGUUGAUAUCCUAAGGAACACCGGUGGCGAAAGCGGCUCACUGGAUCUCUUCUGACGCUGAGGCACGAAAGCUAGGGUAGCGAACGGGAUUAGAUACCCCGGUAGUCCUAGCCGUAAACGAUGAGCACUGGAUUGGAGGGUCCUCCAUAGCCUUCCAGUCGCAACGGAAGCGUUAAGUGCUCCGCCUGGGGAGUAUGGUCGCAAGGCUGAA
rnacentral:rRNA from 1 species